AACGACUAUAAUAUAAUAUACGCGUGGCGUGGAAGUAUUUUAUUCAAAGGAAUGAACCGACUAGGGAAGUUUUGGAGUGACCUGUUCCUGGUAAACAGCCACUUGCGUUAAUCGACCAGAGUACAUUCCGGUAAAGUUUAAAGGCACUCUUGCACUAUAGCAGAAACUCUUGAUUACAGCUAAUAAUAUAUUAAUGCCCGGUGGACAUGGAUCAAGCGUGGAUUAUCGCACUGAUACUAUUGAGAACUGGUCCACAUAUUAUUAUCAUCAUCCAUAUUUUGAUCCAAAAUGUUCUCAGCCUUCUUGCUUUAUUCACAUAAAAGGUAUAUCAUUCAAGAAUGCCCAAAAUGUCAAAACAUACAAAAUACCUAAUUCAUACCAGACAACCUAGAAGAAGUUCUCGAUGAAGACUGCAGCAGCACAAAAAUCCUAAGUUUUCUAGGCAAAAUUAAAAUUGUUAAAAUCGUUUGAUCAUAAAAUUAACCUAUACAUACCUACAUGUAAACAUUUUAUAUUUUAUAUUUAAAUUUUACAUAAUUUACC